CAGCCGCCGCGGUAAUACGGAGGGUGCAGGCGUUAAUCGGAAUUACUGGGCGUAAAGCGCACGCAGGCGGUCUGACAAGUCAGAUGUGAAAUCCCCGGGCUUAACCUGGGAACUGCAUUUGAAACUGUCAGGCUGGAGUCUUGUAGAGGGGGGUAGAAUUCCAGGUGUAGCGGUGAAAUGCGUAGAGAUCUGGAGGAAUACCGGUGGCGAAGGCGGCCCCCUGGACAAAGACUGACGCUCAGGUGCGAAAGCGUGGGGAGCAAACAGGAUUAGAUACCCGUGUAGUCCCUGUCUCUUAUAC
rnacentral:rRNA from 1 species